AAUAAAAAAUUCAAUACCUACCCAAUUUCUCCACAAUUGAUCUUCCAUAACGCCAGAAACAGCAUUCACUGCAUUAAGUUCCUCAUUCAUGUUCCAAGGUUUAUCUUCACUCCACCAGAUUAAGAUCCCAUUUUUAAUUUCUUCAUAUUCCUUCCCUCUUUGGAGAUACCAUCAGACAGAAGAUGCUUGGGUUAAUACAUCUCAAAUAUUACUUCCUCAGUGGCAGCAACACUCUGUCACUUCAUCUUCUUCUUCUUCUUCUUCUUCUUCUUCUCAGCCACCGAUAUCUAGAGUGAAUCAAGUGGAUUCGGCAAGAUUAGAUAUCGAGAUAUCGGGGAUGUUGAAAGAACAAUUAGUUAAGGUUUUCUGUUAAGGUUUUCAAUUUGUUAACUGUUUAUAUUUUCUUUUCCAAAAUUGCAACUUUGAUGAUCUCUCUAAUCAGUAAUCUAAAUCUUCUUAAACUGAUAGGGAGUGGGGUUUGCUAAUAGGUUCGUUUCAGAUUGUGGGUUUGUUUCGAAUUUUGAUUUGGUGUUUUUAUGUACAGGAAUUUCACUUCACAGAUUGUAUAUGAAGCUAAGAAAUCGGUUGGAUGGUUUUCUGAUGAAUCUUAUCGCGGAUCCAAGAAGUGCAUAGUUCUAAGAGAUUAAUUGGGUUUCUUUUGUAUCUUCAAUUUUUGAGAAAUUAAGUAGACAUGGUGGUGAAAUAUGAUCUAUUAACACCAACAAUUCAGGUUUUUACAGAAAUUAUGGGAGUUUAAUUGUUGCAGAUUUUGUGGAGAUUAUUGUUGUGUUGCAUGCCAACAUCCGUCUCAGGUGAGAAUGGGUGGCAACCUCUGGUGGGUUGCUUUGUUCGUGCAACUUUUGUUGGGAAUUUUAGUAACUUGACUAUCUAUUCUGUGAUAUUUGCAUCUACCACCAAAUAUGAGCAUGGGUGGGAACUACCUGCAUCAGUUGUUAAUGUACAAAAUUAUGGCGAUAAAGAUGAAAGUGACAAAUAGGAACCUCCGUGUCAUGAUCAAAUUCAGCCCAACAGUCAUAUGAUGAAAAAAUGGAUCAGUGAAUAGUGGGAUUAAGAAUCUAAGAUAGAAGGAUGAAUUUGCACGUCCUGAAAUGAUAAUAUACAUAAUGGGAUUAAGAUGGAAGGAUGAAUUUGCACGUCCUAAAAUGGUGAUAUUCAUGAGCUUACCAAGGUUUACAUAUUCAUAACCAAGCUUAGCCAGACCAGUUGAUACUAAAGCAUCAGUUGUUAUUGAUCCAACAAACACGACAUUUAGAGGGAUAAAGCUUUGAGGAGUUUCUUGGAUGGUAGCACUGGUGAUCUUGGUGCCUAUGAAGUUCAGCACUGAAUUGCCACAAUGAACAAAAUUACAGCUGCACAUGACAAGUCUGGUGCAGUAGAAUCUACUACAAUCAAAGAUAUCUCAAGUGGGACUCUCGGUGCCUCAUUGUACAGGCAUUCAGAUGAAGUUUGCAACAACGAUACACCUUUAAUAUUCUGACAGUGGUAUGCAACAAUACAUGACAAGCAGCAUGUUAAGAUGAAAGCUACAUCUUACAGUGUAUCGAUUCAUCCCGUGUUUCUGCUAUAGAAUUUUCGGAAUAUUGUGCUUAGUAAUCCACAAUCUAAAGGACCUCUACUGGCGUCUGAGUUGGUGUUGGUGAUUAUAAACGUUGUUGAGGUAUUAAGAACAACAUUAUAAUAAAGUCGUGGCAUUUAAACCUGAUAAGACGGGGUCCUUCCUAUGUGCAUUUUCUGUGAAAUUCUCAUGUAUUACAUACCCAUCACAUGAAAGAGAGUUGACCUGACGAACGACCUUAAAUUCAUCGUUGAUAUAGGUAAUAUGUUGCGGACCCAUUUGGUUAUGUAAAUUACCAUUAUGUUUUCUUUCUACCAUUAUGCUUUGUUUUA